GAUCAUUACAGAAUGAAAAGUGCUUAACUGCAUUUUUUCUUACACAUGUGUUUUUCUUUUUUUGAAAACUUUGCUUUGGUAGGCCUUCUAUAUGGGGCCUGCCAGAGAUUAAACUCAACCAAAUUUUAUUUAAUGUCAACCGAUUAUUUAAUAGUCAAAACUUUCAACAACGGAUCUCUUGGUUCUCGCAUCGAUGAAGAACGCAGCGAAAUGCGAUAAGUAAUAUGAAUUGCAGAUAUUCGUGAAUCAUCGAAUCUUUGAACGCACAUUGCGCCCUUUGGUAUUCCAAAGGGCAUGCCUGUUUGAGCGUCAUUUCUCCCUCAAACCCUCGGGUUUGGUGUUGAGCGAUACGCUGGGUUUGCUUGAAAGAAAGGCGGAGUAUAAACUAAUGGAUAGGUUUUUUCCACUCAUUGGUACAAACUCCAAAACUUCUUCCAAAUUCGACCUCAAAUCAGGUAGGACUACCCGCU
rnacentral:sRNA from 1 species